rnacentral:sRNA from 1 species
CUUGUCCAUAAAACUGGGGAAAGGCACACACAGAAGGAACCAAAUUCUGGGAAUGCAUCAUGGCUCAGCCAAAAAUAUUGCUGGGGACUUGUCUGGGCACAGAUCUUACUCUGCACACUUGAUUUCCCUGUGCCCCUUGGGGUGCAAAACUGGGGUCCUUUAGCUGUGCUAGAGGCUAGAAUGAGAAUUUCUUGGUGUGAGCCCAUUUAAAAUAAUCAUUUAUUUUACAAUUUAAGCAGCUUUUUAACAGCGUAUAAAAAAAUGUAUGAAAGUAAUUUGUGCUCAAUGGAGAAAACCUGGGUAAUAUAGAGAAGCAUGAAGGGGGAAAUAUGCCUUUCAUUCAGAAAGAACAUUUUGACAUGUUACUGAGUUUCACCAAUUUAAGUUUCAUUUCUGUUCUUCCUUGAUCCAGCCCACAGAAUCUGAUUGCCCAGUCUCAGUCUGGCACUGGUAAAACAGCUGCCUUUGUCUUAGCCAUGCUCAGCCGAGUGGAGCCAUCAGACAGAUACCCCCAGUGUCUGUGCCUUUCCCCAACAUAUGAGCUGGCGCUUCAAACAGGAAAAGUGAUUGAGCAGAUGGGCAAAUUUUACCCAGAACUGAAACUUGCCUAUGCCGUUCGAGGCAAUAAAUUGGAAAGAGGCCAGAAGAUCAGUGAGCAGAUUGUCAUUGGCACCCCUGGGACCGUGCUGGACUGGUGCUCCAAGCUCAAGUUCAUUGAUCCCAAGAAAAU